rnacentral:lncRNA from 1 species
ACUACACCAAAACAAGCUUUUAGCGGCGUUUUUAGUGGCGUUUGGAUAAUAAACGCCGCUAAAAAUCAAGCAUUAGCGGCGCUUUUAAAAAAACGUCGCUAAAGAUCUAGUAUUAGCGGCGCUUUUUAAAAAAACGCCGCAAAAAAUGAGCAUUAGCGGCGUUUUUCAAAAAGUGCCACAAAAAACCUAAGCCCAACGACGUCGUUUUUUGAGUUUUCGGGGCUUUAGCGGCGUUUUUAGAAAAGCGCCGCUAAUGCUCGGGUCUUUAGUGGUGCUUUUGAAGAAACGCUGCUAAUGCUCUAUUUUUAGCGGCGUUUUUCCAAAAAGUAAUUAAAAUCCCGCUCAAUCCCAAAAAAAAAUUAUUUUUCAUUACCCGCUCAUUACUCCCUCUUCUUCUCAUCUCCGUCGUGCGCCCUAAGGCUGUGUUCUUCAUUGCGGCUGAGAUGGGCUUUUAGCUAAAAAAGUACUUUUCUUUGAAAAGCAAUGGAGAACACCCUUCAUUUGAUAGCAAAAAAUCAGCUUCUUAGAAGGACUUUUGGGCAGAUGAAAAGUAGAAUUUUUUAGCUUUUCAGCCAAAAAGUGCUUUUGGGUAGGUUACUUUACCUUUUUAGCCACACGACGCUGGUUCUCUCUGCUGCUACACUGCUCUCUGCUCUUUGCUCUUUGCUCUUUGCUGGUUCCCUCUGCUGCGCUACGCUGGUUCUUUGCCCUCAUCUCAGCCCUCUGCUUUGUUCUGCCCUCUGCUGGUGAGUUUAUCUUUGUCUUCUCUUCUUUUGUAUAUUGAUUGAUUUUCGUCUGGGAUUGAUUUUCCUGAGGAUUAAGUUGGAUAUAUUUUUUUUGUUGGAUAUAUUUGGUUGAACUUAUGUUGUUGGAUCUUUAAGAAGAUAGCUAUGAUUGAAAACAAAACCUUGAAAUAAAUUACAACCAAAUAGGUACCAAACGAGCUACACCUUCUUUCCUGUUCGAACUAUCCAAAAUCGAAUUAAAAUCACUGGCUAUAAGCCAAGGCCCAUUAAAAGAUUCAACAAUUAGGUCCAGAACCUUAGCUUAAGGACUCGCAUAAACUGCUGAACACAUGAAAAUAUUAUCCCUUUUCUUGUUACAAACUCUUAUGUGGAUCACUUGAGCAUGAGGACUCGCACAAAAUCUUGCCAAAUACCCCUAACAAAACCAAUAGAUUCAAUUCGAAAUGAAUUUUGAUAUCUCAGUCUGCCAAUUAUAUCUUCAGCUUUAUUUUCACUGAUCUGGGUUUUCGCAAGACAAAAUAAAUCAAUAUAAAAAUCUCGCAUUUAUUCCCUCACAAAAUUAUGAAACCUAGGAUCACCAGUACGCAUGCAAUUCCAAAACAUAAGACUUGUGUCCAUAAAAAAAUAUAAUGGUAACAAGUCAACAAAAAACAAAUCAAAUUACCAGUUAAUUUCUGCUUGCCCGCCCACUGUUUCAGCCAAAUCUUCAACCACCAUUGCUUCUUCAGUAGCUUGUUUUCUCAGCUUGUUGUCGUGCAUGUUAUCUAAAAUUCAAAUGGGU